AGGGUUCGAUUAUGGCUCAGGACGAACGCUGGCGGCGUGCCUAACACAUGCAAGUCGAACGGAACUUCUUUAAAGGAUUUCUUCGGAAUGAAUUUGAUUAAGUUUAGUGGCGGACGGGUGAGUAACGCGUGAGUAACCUGCCUCUAAGAGGGGAAUAACAUUCUGAAAAGAAUGCUAAUACCGCAUAAUAUAUAUUUAUCGCAUGGUAGAUAUAUCAAAGAUUUAUCGCUUAGAGAUGGACUCGCGUCCGAUUAGUUAGUUGGUGAGGUAACGGCUCACCAAGACUGCGAUCGGUAGCCGGACUGAGAGGUUGAACGGCCACAUUGGGACUGAGACACGGCCCAG
rnacentral:rRNA from 1 species